rnacentral:lncRNA from 7 species
AGAAGAGGCAUGAUUUUUGUGUUAAGUGAGGGAUAUUUGCAAAGAAAAGGCGUGAUUUUGGGGUGAAAUAGGGGAUUUUUCAAGAGAAAAUGUGUGAUUUUCAGUUAAAUCGUGGAAUCUCUAAGAGAAAAUGCCUGAUGUCUGCAUUAAAUGCGUGAUUUUCAGGUGACGUGGGAGAUUUUUGAAGAGAAAAUGCGUGCUUUUCGGGAUAAAUCAGGGAUUCUGGAGGAGAAAAUGCAUCAUUUUCGGGUUAAAUGGGGGACUUUGGAAGAGAAAUAGCCUUUUCUUCUGGUUAAAUGGGGGAUUUUUGAAGAGAACAUGCAUGAUUUUCGUUUACAUGUGAGAUUUUUGUAGAGGAAAUGCGUGAUUUUUUGGAUACAUGGGGGAUUCUUGUAGCAAAAAUGUUUGAUUUUGGGGUCGAAUGGGGAUUUUUGAAAAGCAAAAGUGUGAUUUUCGAGUAAAGCGGGGGAUUUUCCAAGAGCAAAUGUGUGAUUUUGGGGAUAAUGGGGUAUUUUUGAAGAGAUGAAGCAUGAUUUUGGGGUAAAUGUGGGAUUUUGCAAGAGCAAACGCAUGAUUUUUGAGUUAAAUGGGGGAUUUUCUAAGAGAAACUGCAUGAUUUUGGGGUAAAUGCGGGAUUUUCCAAGAGAAAAGGCAAGAUUUUUGAGUGAAAUGGGGGAUUUUCCAAGAGAUAAUGCGUGAUUUUGGGGUUAAAAGGGGAUUUCUGAGGAGGAAAUGUGUGAUUCUUGGGAUAAUGGGGUAUUUUUGGAGAGAAAAUGCGUGAUUUUGGGGAAAAUGCGUGAUUUGCAAAAGAAAAGGCGAGAUUUGGAGUUUAAAUGGGGGAUUUUCUAAGAGAAAAUGCAUGAUUUGGGGGUUAAAAGGGGAUUUCUGAGGAGAAAAUGUGUGAUUCUUGGGAUAAUGGGUAUUUUUGGAGAGAAAAUGCAUGAUUUGGGGGUAAAUGCGUAUUUUCCAAGAGAAAAGGCGAGAUUUUUGAGUGAAAUGGGGGAUAUUCCAAGAGAAAUUGCGUGAUUUGGGGGUUAAAUGGAGGAUUGUUGAAGAGACAAAGCAUGAUUUUGGGUGAAGGGGGGGAUUUUUGAAGAGAAAACACGUAAUUUUGGUUUAAACAGCUAUUUUUGAAGAGAAUAUGCGUGAUUUUCAGUUUAAAUCAGGGAUUGUCAAAGAGGGAAUGUGUGAUUUUUGUUUAAAUGGGGUAUUUUGGAAGGGAAGAUGCGUGAUUUUCGGGUUAAAUGGGGGAUUUUCGAAGAGGAAAUGCUUCGUUUCAGGUUGAACUGGGUGUUUUCGAAGCCAAAGUGCGUGAUUUUCACUUAUUUGGGGGAUUUUCCAAACGA